rnacentral:rRNA from 1 species
UACGUGCCAGCAGCCGCGGUAAUACGUAGGGGGCAAGCGUUGUCCGGAAUUAUUGGGCGUAAAGCGCGCGCAGGCGGUCCUAUAAGUCUGGUGUAUAAUCCCGGGGCUUAACCCCGGAUCGCACGAGAAACUGUAGGACUAGAGUACAGAAGAGGAGAGUGGAAUUCCACGUGUAGCGGUGAAAUGCGUAGAGAUGUGGAGGAACACCAGUGGCGAAGGCGACUCUCUGGGCUGAAACUGACGCUGAGGCGCGAAAGCGUGGGGAGCAAACAGGAUUAGAUACCCUGGUAGUCCACGCCGUAAACGAUGAGUGCUAGGUGUUAGGGGUUUCGAUACCCUUGGUGCCGAAGUAAACACAGUAAGCA